rnacentral:rRNA from 1 species
GACUAACGCUGGCGGCGUGCCUAACACAUGCAAGUCGAGCGGACACCAGUCCGUAGCAAUACGGAUGACGUGUCAGCGGCAGACGGGUGAGUAACACGUAGUCAACCUAUCUUUCCGUCCGGGAUAACUAGUCGAAAGAUUAGCUAAUACCUGAUGCGAUCGUCGAGUGGCAUCAUUUGACGAUGAAAGCAGCAAUGCGCGGAUUGAAGGGGCUGCGGCCCAUUAGCUAGUUGGUUGAGGUAACGGCUCACCAAGGCAACGAUGGGUAGCUGGUCUG